CUGACUGUGCUAAGGUAGCAAAAUCAUUUGUCAUUUAAUUGAUCACUAGAAUGAAAGAGUUAACGAUAAAUAAAUUUUCUAAGGAUUAACUGAAAUUGAUUUUUAAAUAAAAAAGCUUAUAUAAUUUAGAAAGACGAUAAGACCCUAAAACCUUGAACGAUUAAACACUAUAUUAAUCUUUUUACUGGGGAGGUAAUUUAUAUCACAUAGUACCUUAUCACAUACUGAAUGAUAAAUUCCAACUCUAUAGAAACUCAAAUAGGUACUUUAGGGAUAACAGCAUAAUUCUUUCAGAGAGUAAACACAUCGACGUAAGAGAUUAUGACCUCGAUGUUGAAUUGAUGGAGCUUUGUUAAGCAGCAAUAAUUAACGCAGGUCUGUUCGACCUUUAAUACAUCACGUGAUCUGAGU
rnacentral:rRNA from 1 species